rnacentral:tRNA from 2 species
UGAUGUGUAGCUCAAUGGUUGAGCAUUUGCUUAAUAUGCAUGAAAUCCUGGGUUCAAUCCCCAGCACCUCAC